CCACCACUUAAACAUGGAUGUACUUGCUUUGAAACUGAAAAAGAAAGUGCUUCCCAGUUUCUGUGAUGG
rnacentral:pre_miRNA from 1 species